rnacentral:rRNA from 1 species
UAAAGUCUGGCCUGCCCACUGAUUUAUUUUAAAGGGCCGCGGUAUACUGACCGUGCGAAGGUAGCAUAAUCACUAGUCUUUUAAUUGGAGGCUUGUAUGAAUGGUUGGACAAAAAGCAAGCUGUCUCAGUUAUAAAAAUUGAAAUUAACUUUUGAGUGAAAAGGCUUAAAUAAAUUAAGGGGACGAUAAGACCCUAUAAAGCUUGACAAUAAGCUGCUUAUAUUAUAAAUUGUUAGUGUAACUUGAUAUUAAACGGUGUUUGUUGCGUUGGGGCGACGAGAAUAUAAAAGGUAACUGUUCUUAUAACAUCCAAUAACAGAAAUGUCUGGAAAUUCAAUGAUCCUUUUUUAAAGAUCAUAAGAUUAAGUUACUUUAGGGAUAACAGCGUAAUCUUCCUUGAGAGUCCAUAUCGACAGGAAGGGUUGCGACCUCGAUGUUGAAUUAAGGUAUCCUUAUGAUGCAGCAGUUGUAAAGGAAGGUCUGUU